rnacentral:snRNA from 1 species
GGAUGUGAGGGCGAUCUGGCUGCAACAUGUCACCCCAUUGAUCGCCAGGGUUGAUUUGGCCGAUCUGGCUGGGUAGGCGGGUGUCCCCUUCCUCCUUUACCGCUCUGCGUGUGUCCCUCCCAAAGCAGCGUGCUUGGCCGAAGAGGAUGACCAUUCCCGAUAGAGGAAGACGUCAAGGGUAUACGAGUAGCUGCGCUCCCCUGCUAGAAUCUCCAACAAACUUUCAAAAUAAUGUAGAGGAGUGACAAUAUUUAUUAAUAUGUAUUUAAUAAAGAUAUGUUUUGAUUAAAAU